rnacentral:tRNA from 1 species
GUGCCCUGGUGGGCGGUCUUCUCGGCGGCGGCGCUCCCGGUGCUGCUGGUCAUCGGAUGGACCACUGCGGCGGUCCGGCAGCCGCCCGGGUACG